GAUGAACGCUAGCUACAGGCUUAACACAUGCAAGUCGAGGGGCAGCACUAGGUAGCAAUACUGAGGUGGCGACCGGCGCACGGGUGCGUAACGCGUAUCCAACCUUCCCGAUACUCUUGGAUAGCCUUCCGAAAGGGAGAUUAAUACAAGAUGGUGUUUCACUUUCGCAUGUUAUUGAAACUAAAGAUUUAUCGGUAUCGGAUGGGGAUGCGUGACAUUAGAUAGUAGGCGGGGUAACGGCCCACCUAGUCUACGAUGUCUAGGGGUUCUGAGAGGAAGGUCCCCAACACUGGAACUGAGACACGGUCCAGACUCCUACGGGAGGCAGCAGUGAGGAAUAUUGGUCAAUGGUCGGAAGACUGAACCAGCCAAGUAGCGUGUAGGAUGAAGGUUCUAUGGAUUGUAAACUUCUUUUAUACGGGAAUAAAACCUCCCACGUGUGGGAGCUUGUAUGUACCGUAUGAAUAAGCAUCGGCUAACUCCGUGCCAGCCGCCGCAGUAACAC
rnacentral:rRNA from 1 species